GAUAGAUUUCAACAUUCUGACCAUUUGCUGAAGCUCCAGAGAAGUGAAGAGACGGCAAAAAUCACUCUGAUGUCCUCGUGAUAGAGAUGAAGGAAACUGGAAUACAUUGUUAUGCCUGCUCCCCUUACAACAACCUUGUGUAACCUGUGAAGAAGUCCUGGAAGACCAUAGUAGACUACAGAGAACUGAAGUACAGAACUGACUGGGCCUCAAGAUCCCUGCUCUCACCAAGGGCUCUGUUGUUGUUGUUGUUUGUCCAUCAUUCUAGAAGAGGAUCAUGACAUCAGAGAG